rnacentral:tRNA from 1 species
UAUUUACAUUAUUAUAAUAUUACAAAUGCUAGUGUAGCUUAACGUAAAGCAUAACACUGAA